rnacentral:rRNA from 1 species
UGUCUCCUACGGGGGGCAGCAGUGAGGAAUAUUGGUCAAUGGGCGAGAGCCUGAACCAGCCAAGUCGCGUGAGGGAAGACGGUCCUAUGGAUUGUAAACCUCUUUUGUCGGGGAGCAAAAAGGCCUCGUGAGGCCACAAGCGAGAGUACCCGAAGAAAAAGCAUCGGCUAACUCCGUGCCAGCAGCCGCGGUAAUACGGAGGAUGCGAGCGUUAUCCGGAUUUAUUGGGUUUAAAGGGUGCGUAGGCGGACUGGAGAGUCAGCGGUAAAAUCGAGAGGCUCAACCUCUUUCCGCCGUUGAAACUG